AUGCACGCUGGCGGCGUGCCUCAUCCAUGCAAGUAGAACGCUGAAGGAAGGAGCUUGCUCUUUCCGGAUGAGUUGCGAACGGGUGAGUAACGCGUAGGUAACCUGCCUGGUAGCGGGGGAUAACUAUUGGAAACGAUAGCUAAUACCGCAUAACAGUAGAUGUUGCAUGAUAUCUACUUAAAAGGUGCAAUUGCACCACUACCAGAUGGACCUGCGUUGUAUUAGCUAGUUGGUGAGGUAACGGCUCACCAAGGCGACGAUACAUAGCCGACCUGAGAGGGUGAUCGGCCACACUGGGACUGAGACACGGCCCAGACUCCUACGGGAGGCAGCAGUAGGGAAUCUUCGGCAAUGGACGGAAGUCUGACCGAGCAACGCCGCGUGAGUGAAGAAGGGUUUCGGAUCGUAAAGCUCUGUUGUAAGAGAAGAACGAGUGUGAGAGUGGAAAGUUCACACUGUGACGGUAUCUUACCAGAAAGGGACGGCUAACUACGUG
rnacentral:rRNA from 1 species